rnacentral:rRNA from 1 species
CCAAUAGCGUAUAUUAAAGUUGUUGCAGUUAAAAAGCUCGUAGUUGAAUUUUGGGUUUGGCCAAUUGGUCCGUUCUUGUAACGAGUACUGGUUGGUUGGGCCUCACCGCCUGGUGAUACGUAAUGUCCUUUAUUGGGUGUUGCGAGUAGCCAGGACCUUUACCUUGAAAAAAUUAGAGUGUUUAAAGCAGGCUUAUGCCGGAAUACAUUAGCAUGGAAUAAUAGAAUAGGACGAUGAUUCUAUUUUGUUGGUUUCUAGGAGCAUCGUAAUGAUUAAUAGGGAUAGUUGGGGGCAUUAGUAUUCAAUUGUCAGAGGUGAAAUUCUUGGAUUUAUUGAAGACUAACUACUGCGAAAGCAUUUGCCAAGGAUGUUUUCAUUAAUCAAGAACGAAAGUUAGGGGAUCGAAGACGAUCAGAUACCGUCGUAGUCUUAACCAUAAACUAUGCCGACUAGGGAUCGGGCGAUGUUGUUUCAAUGACUCGCUCGGCACCUUAUG